rnacentral:rRNA from 1 species
GACGAACGCUGGCGGCGUGCCUAAUACAUGCAAGUAGAACGCUGAAGGAGGAGCUUGCUUCUCUGGAUGAGUUGCGAACGGGUGAGUAACGCGUAGGUAACCUGCCUGGUAGCGGGGGAUAACUAUUGGAAACGAUAGCUAAUACCGCAUAAUAGUAGAUGUCGCAUGACAUUUGCUUAAAAGGUGCAAUUGCAUCACUACCAGAUGGACCUGCGUUGUAUUAGCUAGUUGGUGAGGUAACGGCUCACCAAGGCAACGAUACAUAGCCGACCUGAGAGGGUGAUCGGCCACACUGGGACUGAGACACGGCCCAGACUCCUACGGGAGGCAGCAGUAGGGAAUCUUCGGCAAUGGACGGAAGUCUGACCGAGCAACGCCGCGGGAGUGAAGAAGGUUGUCGGAUCGUAAAGCUCUGUUGUAAGAGAAGAACGAGUGUGAGAGUGGAAAGUUCACACUGUGACGGUAUCUUACCAGAAAGGGACGGCUAACUACGUG